rnacentral:lncRNA from 1 species
UCUUUUAUUCUUCUUGAUAACAAAAUUGGGCAAGAGGUACGAUGUCAGUUGUGCUUUGAUGUCGAUAUAAAACCGACAUUAAAGAUGACAUCUAUGAUCGUGUUUUUAAAGCCUUUUAAAAUCAGUUGUGCUUCGAUGUCGAUUUAAACCAGACAUUAAAGACAUUGUCUUCUGUGUCCAUUUUUACAAAUUUACUUUUAUUAAUUGUUGCAUUAUAAUAUUUCUCUUUUACUUGUAUGUGUACAAAAUGAAAUCUUAAUAUUGUGUACUAAUAAUUUGUAGAAAUACAAGUUAAUAUUGCAUUUUAGAUAGAAUAAUGACACCAAAACACGUGGUAAGUGUGUCAAAAUGUGUAGCUUAUGUUGAAAAUUCAUAAAUAUUCGAAAAUACACUCUACACAAGUCUCUAUGCCUGUUUCACUCUGUUUUUAGUGUCUUAAUGCAAUAUUAUGAACAAAAAAAGAAGCUAGUGAAUUGUAGAGGAACUCCGUCGAAGGCUACGUGAGAAAGCCUUGUCUAGGAAAUACAAUUUCUAGGCGAGAUCCACAUCAGCACACGAGGAAGGUUCACUAGAGGACAAGAAUGGUAGUUGGAGUUGAUGUGACUUGACAAAGAAUGCAUUCAACACUGACAUGCAUGUUUAGAAGAAUAAAAGUUUUCUGUCGAAAGCUACUUAUAAAAGGACUCUAUUUCUUCCAAAGAAGGAGACCAACUUUGAGAGAAGUCGGAUGUCUUAAUGGACCAACCGAGUGCUUAAAUGGGCCAAACCAUAGAGAGGAGUGAAAAUGAGUAGCUUUUUCAUCAUCUGGAAAAGUUUUUCUUCUUCUUUUCUAGUCAGUCUGUAGGUGAAAGUUGAAGGUCUAAGCAUGAAAGAUUCCAUUUUCCAUUUUUCCUAACUUGUAAUGUUUAUUCAGUUUUUGUAUUUCUUUGCAAUGUAUUUGUUCAUAUUAUAUAGUGGCCUAAGUCUUUCUUCUUCUUUUCUAGUUAGUCUGUAGGUGAAAGCUGAAGGUCUGAGCAGGAAAGAUUCUAUUUUUCAUUUCCCUAACUUGUAAUGUUAAUUCCAUUCUCG